rnacentral:lncRNA from 1 species
UACCAAUAUAAGGUGAUGAGAAAUAUCAAGAUUUUGACAAAAUUUGAUAAAUCUAGAAUCAGAAAAUUGGCGGCCAUUAUCGGUGAUCAGCAUCUGUGGGAGACCAAAGCGGCAGAUGAUAAAUUUUUAGACAAAGUCCAUUACUUUGGCUUUGAUGAUGUUGUCGAGAGGUUCAGCUUCUAUCCACUUCGUAAAGUAGUUGAUAGCUAUA